GGAGAAGUGCCGGGAGAUCCGGGAAACCAGAAAACCGGGAAAUGGGGAAACGGGAUAUUCGAGAAACGAGAAAGCCGGGGAACCGGACAAACCGGCUGGGGGAGAGGAGGCAAACGUGAUCAGCCGCCGGGGCGGGGAAGGAAGGCCGGGCCGGGCCGGGCCUGGCCGGGAGUCCGGGGGGCCAGGGGUCGGGGGGUCGCCCUAGGACCCGGGACAAGCGGUGGAAGGGAAGGGCCGGAGCCUGCCAGGCCGGGCCGGCCUGUCCUGGGGGGCCCUGGCGGUCAGCGAGGCGGGGGACCCCCCAAAAAGUCCUGUCUCCCUUGGGCACCACCUGAAGAGAGAGAGGAGCGUCGAAGCCCGAGUGACCCCCCCCCCCCCCAGCCCCGACUCUGAAAGGACGCCCGGGCUUCCCAGCCCAGGUCAGCGACCCCCCAACAAGCCCCACAGACCCUCUCAGGGGGACAAAAGGGGUUGGGGCGACCCCGGGGGUCAUUUUGGGGGGCCGGAGGACGGGGUGAGCGCGGGAGGCUGGACCAGGCCCGGAGGCCGGGGAGGAGGAGGAGGAGGGGGGAGAGGAGGAGUUUAGUCCCGAGGGGAGGGUCCCUCCGGCCGGCCGCCCCGCCCCUCCCCGGCCAGCCCCCCCCACCCCCCCUUUCCCCGACUCCCGCCCCCCGCCCCGUCUCCUCCGCACAAACUUUCCGCCCCUCUCGCUCCCUCCUCCGCGCCCAACGCCUCCCGCUCCCACCCGGCUCAUUCCGCACAUUCCUGCCCUACACCCCCCCCCCCAACCACGACGAUCCCGCCCCCCCAACCACCGCCCCCGCGGCGACCCCGACCGGAGACCCCAGAACUCGGACCAGAGGCCACUGGAGCGACAGGCUGGGCUCUGAAAGGGGAAAGAGCAUGGAGCUGGAAGUUAGAAGACCUGGGCUCUAAUCCCAGCUCUGUCACUUGCCUGCUGUGUGACCUCAGAUAAGUCGCUUCCGCCUCAGUUUCUUCAUCUGUAAAAUGGGGGUGAAAUAUCUGUUCUCCCACUUAGGUUGUGCAGGUCAUGUGCGACAGGGACUGUGUCCCGUCUGAUUAUUGUAUCUGUGCCCCAGUGCUUAGCACGGUGCUUGGCAUAUAGUAAUUGCUUAAUAAAUUCCACCAUUAUUGCUAUUAUUAUUAUUAUUGUUAUUUUUGGUUUGCGCCCCCUGGAGUUGAGUCGCCAUUUCAUGAACCUUGGGAUGUCCUCCUGACAAGCCCCAGGAUGAACCGUAUGUCCUGGAAAGAGCAGUCCUGACCUGGGGAAUCAGCCAGUCCCCUUAAUGCUCUCCAAUGCACUAAAUCUGUAGGAUUGCUGUAUCCAGCUCCUGUUGACCAGAAAGGCC
rnacentral:lncRNA from 1 species